CCAAUAGCGUAUAUUAAAGUUGUUGCAGUUAAAAAGCUCGUAGUUGAAUUUCGGGAUUAGUACGCUGGUCGUGCCUUCGGUACGUACUGGUGUUACUGAUUUCUACCUUCUGACGAACCAUCAUGUCAUUAAUUUGGUGUGGUGGGGAAUCAGGACUGUUACUUUGAAAAAAUUAGAGUGUUUAAAGCAGGCUCGCGCUUGAAUACAUUAGCAUGGAAUAAUGAAAUAGGACGUUGAUCCUAUUUUGUUGGUUUUUAGGAUUGACGUAAUGAUUAAUAGGGAUAGUUGGGGGCAUUAGUAUUCAAUUGUCAGAGGUGAAAUUCUUGGAUUUAUUGAAGACUAACUACUGCGAAAGCAUUUGCCAAGGAUGUUUUCAUUAAUCAAGAACGAAAGUUAGGGGAUCGAAGACGAUCAGAUACCGUCGUAGUCUUAACCAUAAACUAUGCCGACUAGGGAUCGGAUGAUGUUAUUUUUAAUGACUCAUUCGGCGCCUUACG
rnacentral:rRNA from 1 species